rnacentral:snRNA from 1 species
GGAGAUGAGGGUGAUCUGCUGUGACAUCUGCCCCCUACUGACCACCAGGGUUGAUUCAGCUGAUGUGGCUGGCUAGGCAGGUGUCCUUUUGCUCCCUCCCUCUUCCAUGUGUGUCUCUGUGAACUUGGGCAAAGACCUUCUCUGACAUAGGAGGGCUGUUCUUCAGUGAAGGGGGCAUGAGCAGCUAUGCUCCCCUGCUAGAACCUCCACACAAGCUUGCAUGCUGAUUUUUGGAUAUAGUUUUCCUUCACUGUAUGUUUUCAGAUA